ensembl:lncRNA
GGAGAAGUGAAAGUGAAAUGAACCUCUCCAGUAUUUAAAGAGGAAGUCUGAGCUCUGAGAGAAGUUGGCAGGCGGGACAACAGGAGACGACGAUCUGCUGCGAGACGUCGGUGAGCCGGAGGACAUUCACUUACUAUUCUUAAUAGUACUUUACACUCGUGUCUUCCUCCCUUCAUGUCUUCAUGUCACUCCGCUGGCUUUAAGGUGAAAUGUCCUGCUUCCACCUCUGUCCCGCUUUGACUUCUUAAACUUUGUCCUCACAUUCUUCUCAGUAAAUCUCUUUCCACGGCUUCUAAGACUGUCGUCGUCUGUCCAACGGCUGCUCUCCUCGUUGGACUGAGGCGUCAAGUGUCCUUGUCAAGGGAGCGAGGAAGCCAAUAGGCGACAAACUGAAAAUGUGAGGACCAGAGGAAAUCGUAGAGCUUUUUUUUAAUUUCCUGAAGGAAGAAUCAAUCCCGCGACGGAAACGUCCUCCUCAACGUCUCCGUCCUUUUAUCGCUCCAUCAGCGCUCGUCCGGCUCACCUCCUGUUCCUGCUUUCUUCCUCCCUCUCGUCACUCGGCACACGAUAAACAACUGGUUUUUCCAGACGGGCGACCAGAGAUAACACCGCUCCAAGAAGCCGAGGUGGACUCCUGAAACGUUGACAUCUUCUGUCCUUUGGGCCCGGACACCUGUUUGGACCCGGCGCUGGUGUUUUGGGCGGGUGGGAUUGUAACGGAACCCAUAAUGCAGCUGUGAUUCUUCGCUCCAGCUGGUUACGGGGUCCGUUUCUAUCCCACAGCGCGGAGGUCUUCUUCCGGUCGGCUCCUUCUCCAGCAGCACGACGCCUGUCUUUGCACCUCAGCCUCAAAUGGAAUCUGAUUUGAUUGAUCCUUAAAAAAGGGAAACACAAACAUUACAUUUACAAAAACUGUUUGGAAAAGUAAAAAAGUUUUUUAAAAAAGUAUCCGCAGUAAAAUGUAAACAUCCCAGUUUAUCACUUAAUCUCUCUCAGUCAGCUGCUGAGGGACACUUGUUUCUUUCAAAAGAAAUACAUAAUGAAAGUGAAAAUGUUGAACUCCGUCUCGCUGGUAGAACUGAAUGAGGUGAAGUAUAAAUACAUCAGAUGUUUCUCUGAUGCAGAAGGUGUUUUUCCUCAAUGACACGUUUUCUCCCGGAUUGCUGACAACAGUGAACGCAACCGGGAACUUCGUGUCAGCCAAGAAUGACACCUCGAACCGCAGCAGGAGAACUUCCCGCCAAUCAGACCUCAGUCUGUGUAAUGACAUUUUAGCUUCUCUGUGCACUAUUUCUAAAUAAAUCCACAAGAUAUGUCUCAAAACUA